rnacentral:rRNA from 1 species
UACGUAGGGUGCAAGCGUUGUCCGGAAUUAUUGGGCGUAAAGAGCUCGUAGGCGGCUCGUCGCGUCGGCUGUGAAAACCUGGGGCUCAACCCCGGGCCUGCAGUGGGUACGGGCAGACUAGAGUGCGGUAGGGGAGACUGGAAUUCCUGGUGUAGCGGUGAAAUGCGCAGAUAUCAGGAGGAACACCGGUGGCGAAGGCGGGUCUCUGGGCCGUAACUGACGCUGAGGAGCGAAAGCGUGGGGAGCGAACAGG